rnacentral:rRNA from 1 species
ACUCCUACGGGAGGCAGCAGUGGGGAAUCUUAGACAAUGGGGGAAACCCUGAUCUAGCCAUGCCGCGUGAGUGAUGAAGGCCUUAGGGUCGUAAAGCUCUUUCGCCAGGGAUGAUAAUGACAGUACCUGGUAAAGAAAACCCCGGCUAACUCCGUGCCAGCAGCCGCGGUAAUACGGGGGUCCGAGCGUUAAUCGGAAUUACUGGGCGUAAAGGGUCUGUAGGUGGUUUGUUAAGUCAGAUGUGAAAGCCCAGGGCUCAACCUUGGAACUGCAUUUGAUACUGGCAAACUAGAGUAUGGUAGAGGAAUGGGGAAUUUCUGGUGUAGCGGUGAAAUGCGUAGAGAUCAGAAGGAACACCAAUGGCGAAGGCAACAUUCUGGACCAAUACUGACACUGAGGGACGAAAGCGUGGGGAUCAAACAGGAUUAGAUACCCUGGUAGGUC